rfam:Gossypium arboreum cultivar AKA8401 contig_23115_1, whole genome shotgun sequence.
UAUUAAAAAUUACAUCCAUUUGUAUGGUUAAAAAUUGACAUGCUUGACAAAAUAACUAGACAAUAACAUGUGGUGUCACGUGUACGUCAUGCUAACGCAAAUGGACCAGUUUUUAACAGUAAAAAUUGAUGGAAUUUUUAAUG